rnacentral:rRNA from 1 species
UACGUAGGGUGCAAGCGUUGUCCGGAAUUAUUGGGCGUAAAGAGCUUGUAGGCGGUUUGUCGCGUCUGCUGUGAAAUUUCGGGGCUCAACCCCGAACUUGCAGUGGGUACGGGCAGACUAGAGUGUGGUAGGGGAGACUGGAAUUCCUGGUGUAGCGGUGAAAUGCGCAGAUAUCAGGAGGAACACCGGUGGCGAAGGCGGGAUCCUGGGCCAGUACUGACGCUG